CCCUUAGAUGUUCUGGGCCGCACGCGUGCUACACUGAGUGGAUCAGCGGGUCAGGUUGCGCGAAAGUGUUUCCUAAUCUUGAAUUCCGCUCGUGAUGGGGAUUGACGGUUGCAAUUUUCCGUCAUGAACGAGGAAUACCUUGUAAGCGCGGGUCAUCAUCCCGCGCUGAAUACGUCCCUGCCCUUUGUACACACCGCCCGUCGCUCCUACCGAUUGAGUGGUCCGGUGAGGCUUUGGGAUCUGAGCGGAAAGAGCGUUUCGCUGUUUCUGCUCGGAAAACUCAGUCGAACCUUAUCAUUUAGAGGAAGGAGAAGUCGUAACA
rnacentral:rRNA from 1 species